CCCCCAGUGCGGACGCAUAGGGAGCUCUGGCCUCCCCCACCCCUGCAUUCGCGAUUGGCUCGGAGAAGGUGGAUGGUGCUGCCACGGCUGCAGCAUCUCCCUGGGAGCCACGCGGGUGCAUCGUACCAGGAGCCGCGACCCUGCGCCCGCCGCUGCCGCCGUCGCCAGCCCGGCCGGAGGGGCUCCGCGGUGAUAAAUAACGCAGCUGCACGGAAAUGGGACAUCGCUCCUCAGGAUCUUUCUGCAGAGUGGCUCUUUCCUUCCGGCGGGGUGCUUCUCGGAGUCCAGACCACACGCCCCCACGGAAAACUCUAGCCCGGCCUUGCCCUGUGCAGCAGCCACGGCCCAGGGACUUGAGAAAUUGCUUCGCUAUCUCCACACGAUGCAGGCUCUGCGGAGACGCGGCCCUGCCCUGGGGAUGGCGGCACCCGGGCCUGUCUGCGCAGUACAGGUGCCCAGCAACACAGGAUGCCCUUCUUCAGUGACCCACCGCUCAGCCGCGGGCCUCACCCUGGCCAGAGCGAUACCUCCACCCGUGCGCUCCAGACACCCCUGGACCCAGGCUGGGGGUGGCCGGCCUUCCUAUGGCAGGCACCUGACCCGGAGGCCACACUGCUCCCUGUCAGACUCUCCGUGGUUCCGACUCCUGGAUUCGGGGUGUCCGGAGAAGCUGGUGGGGAAGAGGGGCUACUCUCCAUCACAGGCAAAUUCUGAAAUGCAGUGAAAAACAGUAUUGAUACAAUUAAGUGUUCCGAAGUGCUUAGACGGCCACUUGCUAAGUUUACUUAACCCUCUUUAACGGGUUC